GUAAGUAUAGUUUAACAAAAACAUUAGAUUGUGAAUCUGACGAUAGAACUUAAAACUUCUUACUUACC
rnacentral:tRNA from 1 species